rnacentral:rRNA from 1 species
AUUGAACGCUGGCGGCAGGCUUAACACAUGCAAGUCGAGCGGUAGCACAGGGGAGCUUGCUCCCUGGGUGACGCGCGGCGGACGGGUGAGUAAUGUCUGUGAAACUGCCUGAUGGAGGGGGAUAACUACUGGAAACGGUAGCUAAUACCGCAUAACGUCGCAAGACCAAAGAGGGGGACCUUCGGGCCUCUUGCCCUCAGAUGUGCCCAGAUGGGAUUAGCUAGUAGGUGGGGUAAUGGCUCACCUAGGCGACGAUCCCUAGCUGGUCUGAGAGGAUGACCAGCCACACUGGAACUGAGACACGGUCCAGACUCCUACGGGAGGCAGCAGUGGGGAAUAUUGCACAAUGGGCGCAAGCCUGAUGCAGCCAUGCCGCGUGUGUGAAGAAGGCCUUCGGGUUGUAAAGCACUUUCAGCGAGGAGGAAGGUGGUGAGCUUAAUACGUUCAUCAAUUGACGUUACUCGCAGAAGAAGCACCGGCUAACUCCGUG